rnacentral:rRNA from 1 species
GGGUUGUGAGGUUAAGCGACUAAGCGUACACGGUGGAUGCCCUGGCAGUCAGAGGCGAUGAAGGACGUGCUAAUCUGCGAUAAGCGUCGGUGAGGUGAUAUGAACCGUUAUAACCGGCGAUUUCCGAAUGGGGAAACCCAGUGUGUUUCGACACACUAUCAUUAACUGAAUCCAUAGGUUAAUGAGGCGAACCGGGGGAACUGAAACAUCUAAGUACCCCGAGGAAAAGAAAUCAACCGAGAUUCCCCCAGUAGCGGCGAGCGAACGGGGAGGAGCCCAGAGCCUGAAUCAGUGUGUGUGUUAGUGGAAGCGUCUGGAAAGGCGCGCGAUACAGGGUGACAGCCCCGUACACAAAAAUGCACAUAUUGUGAGCUCGAUGAGUAGGGCGGGACACGUGGUAUCCUGUCUGAAUAUGGGGGGACCAUCCUCCAAGGCUAAAUACUCCUGACUGACCGAUAGUGAACCAGUACCGUGAGGGAAAGGCGAAAAGAACCCCGGCGAGGGGAGUGAAAAAGAACCUGAAACCGUGUACGUACAAGCAGUGGGAGCCUCUUAAUGGGGUGACUGCGUACCUUUUGUAUAAUGGGUCAGCGACUUAUAUUCUGUAGCAAGGUUAACCGAAUAGGGGAGCCGAAGGGAAACCGAGUCUUAACUGGGCGUUAAGUUGCAGGGUAUAGACCCGAAACCCGGUGAUCUAGCCAUGGGCAGGUUGAAGGUUGGGUAACACUAACUGGAGGACCGAACCGACUAAUGUUGAAAAAUUAGCGGAUGACUUGUGGCUGGGGGUGAAAGGCCAAUCAAACCGGGAGAUAGCUGGUUCUCCCCGAAAGCUAUUUAGGUAGCGCCUCGUGAAUUCAUCUCCGGGGGUAGAGCACUGUUUCGGCAAGGGGGUCAUCCCGACUUACCAACCCGAUGCAAACUGCGAAUACCGGAGAAUGUUAUCACGGGAGACACACGGCGGGUGCUAACGUCCGUCGUGAAGAGGGAAACAACCCAGACCGCCAGCUAAGGUCCCAAAGUCAUGGUUAAGUGGGAAACGAUGUGGGAAGGCCCAGACAGCCAGGAUGUUGGCUUAGAAGCAGCCAUCAUUUAAAGAAAGCGUAAUAGCUCACUGGUCGAGUCGGCCUGCGCGGAAGAUGUAACGGGGCUAAACCAUGCACCGAAGCUGCGGCAGCGACACUAUGUGUUGUUGGGUAGGGGAGCGUUCUGUAAGCCUGUGAAGGUGGCCUGUGAGGGUUGCUGGAGGUAUCAGAAGUGCGAAUGCUGACAUAAGUAACGAUAAAGCGGGUGAAAAGCCCGCUCGCCGGAAGACCAAGGGUUCCUGUCCAACGUUAAUCGGGGCAGGGUGAGUCGACCCCUAAGGCGAGGCCGAAAGGCGUAGUCGAUGGGAAACAGGUUAAUAUUCCUGUACUUGGUGUUACUGCGAAGGGGGGACGGAGAAGGCUAUGUUGGCCGGGCGACGGUUGUCCCGGUUUAAGCGUGUAGGCUGGUUUUCCAGGCAAAUCCGGAAAAUCAAGGCUGAGGCGUGAUGACGAGGCACUACGGUGCUGAAGCGACAAAUGCCCUGCUUCCAGGAAAAGCCUCUAAGCAUCAGGUAACAUCAAAUCGUACCCCAAACCGACACAGGUGGUCAGGUAGAGAAUACCAAGGCGCUUGAGAGAACUCGGGUGAAGGAACUAGGCAAAAUGGUGCCGUAACUUCGGGAGAAGGCACGCUGAUAUGUAGGUGAAGCGACUUGCUCGUGGAGCUGAAAUCAGUCGAAGAUACCAGCUGGCUGCAACUGUUUAUUAAAAACACAGCACUGUGCAAACACGAAAGUGGACGUAUACGGUGUGACGCCUGCCCGGUGCCGGAAGGUUAAUUGAUGGGGUUAGCGGUAACGCGAAGCUCUUGAUCGAAGCCCCGGUAAACGGCGGCCGUAACUAUAACGGUCCUAAGGUAGCGAAAUUCCUUGUCGGGUAAGUUCCGACCUGCACGAAUGGCGUAAUGAUGGCCAGGCUGUCUCCACCCGAGACUCAGUGAAAUUGAACUCGCUGUGAAGAUGCAGUGUACCCGCGGCAAGACGGAAAGACCCCGUGAACCUUUACUAUAGCUUGACACUGAACAUUGAGCCUUGAUGUGUAGGAUAGGUGGGAGGCUUUGAAGUGUGGACGCCAGUCUGCAUGGAGCCGACCUUGAAAUACCACCCUUUAAUGUUUGAUGUUCUAACGUGGGCCCCUUACCGGGGUUGCGGACAGUGUCUGGUGGGUAGUUUGACUGGGGCGGUCUCCUCCUAAAGAGUAACGGAGGAGCACGAAGGUUGGCUAAUCCUGGUCGGACAUCAGGAGGUUAGUGCAAUGGCAUAAGCCAGCUUGACUGCGAGCGUGACGGCGCGAGCAGGUGCGAAAGCAGGUCAUAGUGAUCCGGUGGUUCUGAAUGGAAGGGCCAUCGCUCAACGGAUAAAAGGUACUCCGGGGAUAACAGGCUGAUACCGCCCAAGAGUUCAUAUCGACGGCGGUGUUUGGCACCUCGAUGUCGGCUCAUCACAUCCUGGGGCUGAAGUAGGUCCCAAGGGUAUGGCUGUUCGCCAUUUAAAGUGGUACGCGAGCUGGGUUUAGAACGUCGUGAGACAGUUCGGUCCCUAUCUGCCGUGGGCGCUGGAGAACUGAGGGGGGCUGCUCCUAGUACGAGAGGACCGGAGUGGACGCAUCACUGGUGUUCGGGUUGUCAUGCCAAUGGCACUGCCCGGUAGCUAAAUGCGGAAGAGAUAAGUGCUGAAAGCAUCUAAGCACGAAACUUGCCCCGAGAUGAGUUCUCCCUGACUCCUUGAGAGUCCUGAAGGAACGUUGAAGACGACGACGUUGAUAGGCCGGGUGUGUAAGCGCAGCGAUGCGUUGAGCUAACCGGUACUAAUGAACCGUGA